rnacentral:rRNA from 1 species
UACGAAGGGGGCUAGCGUUGCUCGGAAUCACUGGGCGUAAAGGGUGCGUAGGCGGGUCUUUAAGUCAGGGGUGAAAUCCUGGAGCUCAACUCCAGAACUGCCUUUGAUACUGAAGAUCUUGAGUUCGGGAGAGGUGAGUGGAACUGCGAGUGUAGAGGUGAAAUUCGUAGAUAUUCGCAAGAACACCAGUGGCGAAGGCGGCUCACUGGCCCGG